UACGUAGGGUGCGAGCGUUAAUCGGAAUUACUGGGCGUAAAGCGUGCGCAGGCGGUGAUGUAAGACAGGUGUGAAAUCCCCGGGCUUAACCUGGGAACUGCAUUUGUGACUGCAUCGCUGGAGUGCGGCAGAGGGGGAUGGAAUUCCGCGUGUAGCAGUGAAAUGCGUAGAUAUGCGGAGGAACACCGAUGGCGAAGGCAAUCCCCUGGGCCUGCACUGACGCUCAUGCACGAAAGCGUGGGGAGCAAGCAGG
rnacentral:rRNA from 1 species